GUAGUUGUUUCUUGGCUUUUCUUUUUCAUCUUUCUGGUUUCGGCCGUCAAAUCUUCUUUUCUUUCUUCGUCUUCGUUUUGUCUAUAAUGGUGAGGGGAUCGGGAUGUGGGUCUGUGCGUCCGCCUGUACGUGCCGGUGGUGGCGUUCCUGCUCAUGGAGGAGUCGUUGGUGGAAGACCAGGUGCUAGCGGUCAGCGUCGCGGUGCUGGGGGUUCCGGCCGUGGGCGGUCCCGUGGUCCGCUUUCCGCUCGGGGCGGUGGUGUUGGUAGGCGACGCCACCCAUGGCGUUCUCAGUCUCCGUAUUUUGAUGGCGCUGCAAGUGGUGAUGGCGGCCAAUCUGGGCAAGCCGGCGCCGGCGACCAUGUGGAGUUACCCCCGGGGAGCUCUUCCGGGAUGGCAGCCGUGCCGUCGCAGCCGCCGUGAAGGCACUUCAACUUCCCCGACGAGGGUCCACAUCGGGGAGACGGAAUCGAUCUCAUGAGCUGGCCCGCCGUGUGGCGGUGUGGACGCUCGACGAGCCUCCCGAUGGCAACGAGCUAGCUGGGCCACUUUAGCACCAGCCACAAGAUGGAGAAGGCCAGCAACCGGUGGAGAAUUUGGUGCGCUGCGACAUACGGGACGAGUACAGGACGGCAACAUCAACCACGCGAUCGACGGCGGCACCAGCGGCUGUGCGUGCCUAGGUAGGCCUGCCCAGACCACCCCCUCCUCCAUCCCCGCAACCCUAAGCCUAAGAACGCAAGGAGCUGCACACACAGCUAGCGAUUAUGAUGGUGGUUGUGUUACACGUCUGACGUGAAAUAGCACGAGGCAGACCGCGGUGACUGGGACCGCCAUCAUCCCUUUCAAAGAAAUGAAAGAAGAGAGCACUGUGGCGUUCCGACGAUCAUGGCUUCGCCACCCAUCCCGGCUUUCUGUCGGUGGAUCGUCCAACGAGGCUUGCCGCUGCUCUUUCUUACCUUCUGGCUAGAUGAUUUCCUUCCAUAUGCUACCAUCAUAUUCUGUGUUCCAUCCCCAUCAUGGAAUUGAUCCAGCAAAAAGAUAUGAUCCAAUCUAGCAUGUCCAACUCUCCUAGUGGUAUUCCUCUCAAACCCUCUAAUGUCAGUUUCCAAGUCCUAACCAAUCCAGCAUGUAAAUUAUACUAUAUGGUUUUACCCCCACGAUGGUUGACUUAGCAGAGGAGAAAAAUGUAUGGGCUCUUUGAAGCAAAUUGGGUGGUCAUCGACACUUCCCAACUUCCUACGCCGCCCAUUCAACAGGCAAGAAAUUCUAUAUCCUUGAAUUCUUUGCUCUAGAUAAAAUUACUCAUAUAAAUAUACAAUUUAUGUCAAAUGCAAACUCCAGAUUUUCUAUGUUACUUCUGCACUUUUAUCAAUCUAGAUUUAUUGCGCUUGCAUUGGAUGUGUAGGUAAAUUAGGGUAGGCUGAUCUUAAAUUCUUCCAUCAAAUUUAUUACGUCAACAGCAAAAAGUCCAGAUGCACAAUGUAGGCAAACAUGGACAACUGGUAUGGACUGUUUGAUAAAAGUUACUAAAUGGUAUGAUCCUCAUUUUCCAUAUUUACAUAUAGACUGGAUGAUAACAGAUAACAGUUACUUCAUGAUAUGAUAUUCUUUGCCCGUAUUUUACGUACUCAUUUAAUUUUGUAUGAGCUCCUAUAGAAAAGUGACUGAGAUCUGGUGGUCUUCACUGUAGAUUUUCAUUCUUAGAGAGCAUUGGACAUGUCCGAGUAGAUUAGACUUUCAUGGGUUAUUGGGAACCUAAUAGAGCCUUUUGUAUAUGUUCCAGUUAUGCUCUUAAGGACCAUGCCCAUGAAUUAACAGAAAAUGAGUAUGGAGUAUUCCCUAUUUAUUAUUGCGUGAAGCACUACAAGUAGUUUGCUAUUAUGGGGGAAAAUCAGUUAUGAGCUAGGUAAACAAAAACCAUUCUAUUGCAAGCGAAACAGCAAACAACCAUAUUGUACAUCAUCUCUAGCACAAUAUUUAGUGGAACACUCGGAUUAGAUGGGCUACCUUAGGCUUAAUAAAGAGCACAUCUUUUGCCUGCUAUCAUUGAUUAGAAAUAGUAAUCCCCUGCUCCUAAUUAAUAUACAAAAUAGUUGGAUCCUCACAGGAUUUCUUCACGUGUAUGGGUGUAAUUAUUCUUACCGUGAAUCCAAUUCACGACCUUCGAUUAUUCGUCCACAUAUUAGAUGAUAAAUGAGUAACAUAUUAUACAUGUCAACAAAUCUAUAUUCUAGAGCCGCCGCCGGCAGGACUACGAUAGCAACCUUCACCGCAAGCCCUCGAUCUCUGGAAUGGCGCCACGGCACUCCUGACCCGCCGCUCCCAGUGUGCUCGCACGCUACUCGCAUAAUAUAGUGUACGGAGAAGUGCUCGGUCAUGUCUAGGCGUUUCAUUUAAUAUGUGCUUAUUUUCUUACAUUCUUGCUUUCUCUGUGUACAUAUUUCGUCUGUCUAACCUGACUAAUAUUCCCAUUCAUUGUCCUUCGUUUUCCAGAGAUUACUUUAUGAUGAAGCUGUGAGAUUUUCUGUCCUUUUUGUGCUGAAGUACUUACUGGCUCGCUUGCUGAGAGCAAAUAUAUUCUACUAUUCACUGAAAGAGCCACGCUUUCAGUCCAUUUCUAUGUCCAACUCUUUCGUGUCUACAAAGUUUAGCUGGCUCCAUGUGGGGUAUUGCAUUGCUCUACUUCUGUCUGCAUACUUGCCAGCUAAUGCGCUGUGUGCGUUAUCUUGGUACCUAAAAUGUAAGGGAGCUUAAUAUGAGACUCAAAAAAUCUGGAGCUCAUAGUGAUAGUUUCUUGGUUCUCAAGCUAUCUACGGAGGCUAAAGUCAGCUAAUGAACAUAGUUUACAUAGAAAAGACAUAUCAGCAGUACUUAGUUUAGGCAACGUCCUGACGGCAGGCAGACGACUGCCUUCCCUGACUGUCUCCUCUGUAUUGUGUAAUUCAGAGUAUCUGCAAUGCUCGAAUGUGUCAAGAGUUGUCUUUUCCCCC